UGAGUAGCUCAGUUGGUGAGAGCGUACGGCUCAUACCCGUAAGGUCGACGGUUCGAAUCCAUCCUC
rnacentral:tRNA from 1 species